AUGCAAGUCGAACGCAGUAGCAAUACUGAGUGGCAGACGGGUGAGUAACAUGUGGGAAUCUGCCUUGUGGUUCAGGACAACAUUGGGAAACCGAUGCUAAUACUGGAUAAGCCCUUACGGGGAAAGUUUUAAUGCCAUAAGAUGAGCCCGCAUUUGAUUAGUUAGUUGGUGAGGUAAUGGCUCACCAAGACAAUGAUCAAUAGCUGAUCUGAGAGGAUGAUCAGCCACACUGGGACUGAGACACGGCCCAGACUCCUACGGGAGGCAGCAGUGGGGAAUCUUGCACAAUGGAGGAAACUCUGAUGCAGCGAUGCCGCGUGAGUGAAGAAGGCCUUUGGGUUGUAAAGCUCUUUUGUAGGGGAAGAUAAUGACUGUACCCUAAGAAUAAGGUCCGGCUAACUUCGUGCCAGCAGCCGCGGUAAUACGAAGGGACCUAGCGUAGUUCGGAAUUACUGGGCGUAAAGCGCGCGUAGGCCGUUGAGUUAGUUAAUUGUGAAAUCCCAAAGCUUAACUUUGGAACUGCAAUUAAAACUGCUCGACUAGAGUUUGAUAGAGGAAAGCGGAAUACAUAGUGUAGAGGUGAAAUUCGUAGAUAUUAUGUAGAACACCAGUUGCGAAGGCGGCUUUCUGGAUCAACACUGACGCUGAGGCGCGAAAGUAUGGGUAGCAAAGAGGAUUAGAUACCCUCGUAGUCCAUACCAUAAACGAUGAUUGCUAGAUGUUGGAAAUUUAUUUUCAGUAUCGCAGCUAACGCAUUAAGCAAUCCGCCUGGGGAGUACGACCGCAAGGUUAAAACUCAAAUGAAUUGACGGGGACCCGCACAAGCGGUGGAGCAUGUGGUUUAAUUCGAAGAUACGCGCAGAACCUUACCAACCCUUGACAUGUCUGUCGCGAGUUUAGGAAGCUAGACUUUUCGGUUCGGCCGGACAGAACACAGGUGCUGCAUGGCUGUCGUCAGCUCGUGUCGUGAGAUGUUGG
rnacentral:rRNA from 1 species